rnacentral:rRNA from 1 species
UACGAAGGGGGCUAGCGUUGCUCGGAAUUACUGGGCGUAAAGCGCACGUAGGCGGCUUUGUAAGUUAGAGGUGAAAGCCCGGAGCUCAACUCCGGAAUUGCCUUUAAGACUGCAUCGCUUGAAUCCAGGAGAGGUGAGUGGAAUUCCGAGUGUAGAGGUGAAAUUCGUAGAUAUUCGGAAGAACACCAGUGGCGAAGGCGGCUCACUGGACUGGUAUUGACGCUGAGGUGCGAAAGCGUGGGGAGCAAACAGG